CACGUAGGGUGCGAGCGUUGUCCGGAAUUAUUGGGCGUAAAGAGCUCGUAGGCGGUGUGUCGCGUCGGCCGUGAAAACCUGCAGCUUAACUGUGGGCGUGCGGUCGAUACGGGCAUCACUGGAGUUCGGCAGGGGAGACUGGAAUUCCUGGUGUAGCGGUGAAAUGCGCAGAUAUCAGGAGGAACACCGGUGGCGAAGGCGGAUCUCUGGGCCUUACCUGACGCUCAGGUGCGAAAGCUAGGGGGAGCGAACAGG
rnacentral:rRNA from 1 species